GAUAAAACAGGUAUAACAUUCUUGGUGAGGUGUUCUGUUUCAACCUUGCUGUUACCUAAACCAAUCUUACUUUUUUCCUUUUUUCAGUAGGAGGGUUCUUGUGAUGUCUGCAGCCAUGUCUGGAGUUUUGUAUAAGGCUCAGUUAACUUCCCUAGUCCCUGUAUUUCAGAUGUCAACAUUGCUCAGGGUGAGGCGCAAAGCAAAGUCUUGUUAUUUUUAUAGAUGUAAAUGCUGUUCUGGUUAGCAUUAAAUUGCAGGAGCACUUCAGAAUUUUGAAAUAAUUGGCAGUUUAUUUGUUUUCUUACUCAAAGUUCAUUUUUGGAAUGGAGUUUAACCUUUGGAAUAAAGUUUUUUGGGUUUAAAAUUUACUGAUAAAUGAGAAGUGUAAUAGUUUGUUUGGCUUCCAAAACUCACAUUUUUCUAAAUCUGCAAUUAUCCUACCCCUUUUCAGUUUUGUCUUAGCUCUAAUUUACAUUCUAGGUUCAAUCCUUGUAUAAGCCAGAGGAACCUAAUUAUUACUAUAAAAACAACUCAUUGGCUUAGGUUUGAGUAAAUAUUCUCUGUUUUGGCACUGCAGUGUCUAAAUGAUUUAGUUUUCUUUUUAAAAUCCCACCCUAACCUCUUUGGCUCCUGUGGUAUAGUCUAUACUCUCCAGGGAGUGGGUUCCUGAUUAACGGUGUAGUUCUAUGGUGUGGAAGCUCUUACCUUAUGCUUAAGUGGGUUAUUACUUUGAUCUUAAGUUUCCCAGUGACUUAGUUCCUGACAUCUGUUUUGGCCGUCACCAAUGCCAACUGCCUUUCCUGUUUGGGUUUCUGCUUUCUGUCACCUUUCGUGUGAGCUCUUAAUGCUUGAUCUACCAUAGCUUGGAUAGUAAGCCUUGCCGAAAAUCUUGGUUCUUAGCAACAGUAAGUUUUCUUUUUCAUCUGUUUUUGAACUUCCACAUCCCUGGCUAAAUGUGAAAUAAACUGUCAAUUCAGAACCAAUGCAGCUUUUCAGAAUGGAUGGAUUAAUAAAGGUUAUGAGAAUACAUUUACCAGCAUUUACAGUCAAAGCAAGUGGAUUUCCUCACCUCCCUCCUGCAGCCUCCGUGAAUCAGGAUAAGAGCCAGCUUGAACAGAUGGACCAUGCAACUGGGCUUUAAAGGAGAAAUUUAAAUUGUUGAUGUACUGGGAGGGGAAGUGAAUCUGUACAAGAUACCUUUCUCUUGCUGGUCAAAUGGAUGGAAGCUCCAACAAGGGCAUGUUAUUUGACCCACCUAGCUGUGAGGCAGUUUGGAGAAAAACAUGAAAACUUUGCUUAAGUUAUGCCUUACUCUUCCCCACUCAAAAGAUCUAGGACAACAAAAUGUUUUUUGACAACAAAAAUUAAAGAUUGCUUUUUGUUUGUGUCAGACCUCAAGUUAUAGUGAAUGCAGGGUAAUAAUCUGGUUAGAUGCACACAUGUGAAGUCAUCUGUGCUUGAUUUACAUCCAGAUUUUUCAAAGAUUUCUCAUAUGUAAAAUGGAAAUAAAAUACUACUUAGUUCAUUGG
rnacentral:lncRNA from 13 species